UACGUAGGGUGCGAGCGUUGUCCGGAAUUAUUGGGCGUAAAGCGUGCGCAGGCGGUUGUGCAAGACAGAUGUGAAAUCCCCGGGCUUAACCUGGGAACUGCAUUUGUGACUGCACGGCUGGAGUGCGGCAGAGGGGGAUGGAAUUCCGCGUGUAGCAGUGAAAUGCGUAGAUAUGCGGAGGAACACCGAUGGCGAAGGCAAUCCCCUGGGCCUGCACUGACGCUCAUGCACGAAAGCGUGGGGAGCAAACAGG
rnacentral:rRNA from 1 species